GAUGAACGCUAGCUACAGGCUUAACACAUGCAAGUCGCGGGGCAGCAUGGGGGUUGCUUGCAACCCCUGAUGGCGACCGGCGCACGGGUGAGUAACGCGUAUCCAACCUGCCCUUCACCACGGGAUAACCCGGCGAAAGUCGGACUAAUACCGAAAGGUGUCCAUUGACGGCAUCCGAUUUGGACGAACGGCGCGGCGGUGAAAGGAUGGGGGUGCGUUCGAUUAGCUUGAGGGCGGAGGAACGGCCCACCGUGGCUACGAUAGCUAGCGGAUCUGAGAGGAAGGUACCCUACACUUGAACUGCGACACGGUCCAGAAUGCUACGGGAGGGAGCAGUGUGUAAUAUUGGUCAAUGAGCGUAAGCCUGAACAAGCCAAGUAGGGUGCAGGAUGCCGGCGCUAGGGGUUGUAAUCUGCUUUUAUGGGGGGAUAAAGUGGCACACGUGUGGGCUUUUGCAGGUACCGAAUGAAUAAGGACCGGCUAAUUCCGUG
rnacentral:rRNA from 1 species